rnacentral:rRNA from 1 species
GAGCGGCGGACGGGUGAGUAACGCGUGAGAAUCUACCCAUGAGUGGGGGACAACCCGGGGAAACUCGGGCUAAUACCGCAUACGCCCUACGGGGUAAAGCAGGGGACCUUCGGGCCUUGCGCUGAUGGAUGAGCUCGCGUCGGAUUAGCUUGUUGGUGAGGUAAAGGCUCACCAAGGCGACGAUCCGUAGCUGGUCUGAGAGGAUGAUCAGCCACACCGGGACUGAGACACGGCCCGGACUCCUACGGGAGGCAGCAGUGGGGAAUCUUGGACAAUGGGGGCAACCCUGAUCCAGCCAUGCCGCGUGUGUGAAGAAGGCCUUCGGGUUGUAAAGCACUUUCAGCAGGGAGGAAGGCUUACCCCUAAUACGGGUGAGUACUUGACGUUACCUGCAGAAGAAGCACCGGCUAAUUUCGUGCCAGCAGCCGCGGUAAUACGAAAGGUGCAAGCGUUAAUCGGAAUUACUGGGCGUAAAGCGCGCGUAGGCGGUGUGUUAAGUCGGAUGUGAAAGCCCAGGGCUCAAACCUUGGAAUUGCAUCCGAUACUGGCACGCUAGAGUGCAGUAGAGGGAGGUGGAAAUUUCCGGUGUAGCGAUGAAAUGCGUAGAGAUCGGAAGGAACACCAGUGGCG